rnacentral:sRNA from 1 species
CAUGGACUAGAGGAGAUUUCUUCCUGUCGCCAGAAAGGAUUUCAUCCACACAGCAAGGAUCCACCUCUGUUCUGUAGCUGCAGCCAUGUGACUGUUGUGGACAGAGCAGUGACCAUCACAGACCUUCGAUGAGCGUUUGAGUCCAACACCUUCCAAGAACAACAAAACCAUAUCAAUAAACCAAAACUUCAUUGCCCCUUCAAUGUGGGAAUCCAGCCAGACCCUAUUCUUGGACAGCAUCAGUGAAAGGGGCUUGGGAAAGCUCUUGGGCAUAGCAGCAGAGGCAUGUCAUAUAUGGAAACCUUCCAUGAGGGUGACCUCACCACUGGAACCCGUUCAACAUAAACCUUGCUGCAAGAACUAGCAGAGCUCUUUGGACAAAACGUGCUCACCAAGAUGGAGCAACAGAGCCCAUGGCCCACUUACUACAUGGAUUCCCACUUUACAGUGGAGAAGGAGCUUGCAGUAACCACAAAAGUUUCUGUAUAAGCAAAUUUAGGGAAUUGAAUUUCAGUGUGGUUGUCUCCUUACUUAUGAACUUGGGAAUACUUACUUAGGUAACAACUAACAUCAGAGGUUUUUGAUCUGUAGCCUUUCUUUCUGUCCAUAAUUAGCUAAUAGCUUCUGCUGUACAAACACAAACCAUUCCCUGUCCAAGAAAAUUAAACUAUAUCAUCAGAAUAAGAAAGAA